CUCUCUAUCUCUAUCUCUCCCCCCAUCUCCGGUAACCAAAAAAAAAAAAAAACCAGCCCAGAAAGCUAAUUAAGCAAAAACACACUUUGUAGCCCUCUCUCGAUCCCCCAUCGUUUCUUCUCGGCCAUGGCCGUUCGGCUGGAUUUCUUUCAGAUCUUGUCAGGUUUCCCAUAUCUCUCUCUCUUCUUUGGAUUCAAAGUUCUUUGUUUAUAUAGCUUCUUGGGAUCCAAAUUAUCCUCGGAAAUCUUCUUAUGCCAUGUGAUCCUGAGAUCUUGUAUUUUUUCAGCACAGAUCCUUUCGCUUUUCUGGAGAAGAAGCGAGGGGAUCGAGAAGUAUGGAUGGAUAUAUUAGAUUUGAUUGCUCUUUUUGUCCGUCUCUUGGAUCUCCCUUUCUUCGUUCACAUCCGUUCGCAGCUUGCGGUGGUUUUACGGGUGGGAGAGGGUGAGAUUUGGGCAGCCCUCCGUCGGAGUUGGGGUGGGAAGGGGGACUGUUAGAUUCCCUCAGUUGGGGCGCCAGCCCACCGUCUUUUUCCCGUCCGGCCACUCGCGGCCCUCCACGUCACCCUGCGGUCGUGUUCAUGUGUGGGUGGGAAGUGCGCAUGAAUCUAAGUUUUUAUAUCUCCUCUCCACUCUCUCUCCUUUGUUGUUCCUGCUCCUGCUUCUGUUUUUUCUUCUAUCUUUUCCCAUCUUUUUUCUUGAUAUUUUGAUCCAAAUACGUACUAUAUUAUCUUCUUUUUUUGUCUUUCUGUAUCGACUAUUUUAAUACUCGUGUUGUUCCUCUUCACGGCCCAUCUUUCUCUUUCUUCAAAAACAAAACAAAAAAAAAAAAAAUGCUUAGCUUGAGUAUUGGGUCUCCUUCUUGGGUUUUAUGUCGGCGUUGGUUCUUUGUUCCCCUCAGAUCUUUGAUUCUUGGAGGCAGUCGAUGUUUGCAGGUGUGGCAUCAUCAAGAUUCACAUUGAUCGAGCUGCUGCAGUCCGAUUCUUAAUGAGAAUCUUGAUGAUGCUGCAUCGGCAAAUAGGCGACUUCAGUGAUAUGAGAUUCGGCGAGAUUGGUUGCUGCUUCUUGGUUGCACCGACGAGGAAAGUCAAGUCUCCUCUCUAUCCUUGCCCAUUACAUCCAAACAAGGGAAGUGAGAUUCCGUUCUCUUCUCUUCCUUUUAUCUUUUUUCUCUUAUCUUCCUUUCAUAAAAAUUUACUUGUUUUAGAGUUAAACCUGAUAAGCGUACAAUUGGUACUGUUUCCUCACAUUGCAUCAAAGAAACUUUUAAUUUGGAAAUGAAUUCACAUUGAUCUUGAACUAUUUUGGUAUUUUUGGUUAAUAUUAAGAUGUUUAGUUUUUGUCUGGAAUAGAAAAAUGCAUCAUUGUAAGGAUGCAUGGUUCCAAAAUCAUGUCGACCAAACCUUUUGUUCUCUUUCCACCUCUUUGUAUUCUUGCUGUUUAUGAGUAUCUGUUGCUACAUUGCAUACAAACUGAUGACACGCUUUGAAUCUACAAGUUUUCAACAUAUAUAUGCGUUAAGUCCUUCUUAUAAAACCUUUUUGGACUGCCUUGAGAUCCAAUUUGCUUGUUAUUGAGCACUAACUUGUAAGAAUUCUUCUUCUAACUAUAUUGGCGAUUUUUCCCCCCAUGGAAGUCUUUCAGACUCCAUGUAACAAAUACAAAUAUUUAAUCUCAAUGAAAUUUGAAUCUGAAGUACAAUAUGGCAAGAAUUGGAUGGAGCCAAGGUAUUAAAUCAAUCCUUAAAUAAAAAAAAGAGUAUUUCACUCCCUUGUAUAGAAUGUUUUGAUGACUUCAAUAUAAUUAAUUUUAUGCAGAUUAGGUGAGAAUGGGUACAUUCUGCAACUGAAAAGCUCUAUAAAGAGAAAUACUUUUGAGUAGAGCUUCCGACAUGGAACUGCCCUUGCAGACAUAUAUGGAAUGUAGCUAAAAGAGCAUGUCAAAAGCAUUUGCAUCAACAUUUACCACUUAUCACUCAUGCAAGUGGACCUCCCAUUGGGUAAACCUGCAAGUUAUUGCUUUCAAAGUGGACCAUCCUCAAGGACAUUCCUCACGGAAGUGUCUGGAAAAGUGCCCCUCUCCUCACCUCUGAAAUUUGCUACGCUUAACAUGAUCAAGAUGCAAAAUAUUUAUGUUUCUAAUGGCAUGUAAUUCAUUUCACUGCUCCCUUCCUAUAAUUUGUACAGCAUGCAUUUAAACAAGCACUCUUAUGAAGGUACAUGCUCUCUCUCUCUCUCUCUCUCUCUCUCAUGUGUACCUGCUGUAUGUGCACAGCACAAAAUUGCAUGUGAACAUUAGCCUACUUUAGCCAUAACUAGUGCAUGAAUAAAACAUGUCCUCUUCACAGACAUAUUCACCAUUUGACAGUCUCAAUAGAUUUUUUUUCAUUUAUGUAACUACAAGCAUCCGUAAGAUUAAUGUCUGUGGAGGUUGGACUCCUCUGAUGUAACGUGACAUUUUCCAUAUUGCUUGGCUGAUCUUCCUCGACAGACCCUUUUUUUUUAUCUCUCUCUCUCUCUCUCUCUUCAAGUACUGAAGUUCCACUUUCCUCUUUGUUGUCAGCAAGCAUGCUCCCAUUGUGGCACCCAUAUUUGUUUAGAUUCUUAGAUUGGCAUGUCAAGGAAAAUCUUGAUACAAGGACACCAUGCGAGGCCUGCAACUGUUCUAUCAGACAACCAAAAUAUAAGGCUUCAUCAUCAAAGUAAGUCAGGGAACUUAAAAGCAGGUGACAAAAAGAAUGGACUAGUGAAUUUCCUGCCAUAAAAUUAUUCUCCUCCUCCUGAUUAGCGAUUCUCUAACAGCUCAUGCAUUUGAGGGAGACAAGAGGUUUCUAUUAAAUUUUCUUACAGAUUAAUCGAUAUAACCUACUGCUGUACUACCAUGUACUAAUUUCUUAUCGCCAUGUGGGAUCAAGAUAGCAUGGUUCAUGCAGUUAAACAUUCAGUUAAAUGACCAACUAUGGAGAGAAUGCUUAUGAAGGAUGAUGAGGAAGUGGGGAAUGCCUUUAUCUUCGAUGUUGGACACCAUCAACUUUUCUCUCGAGGCAUAGGUGAUUUGAAGGUCAUGAUAUAUUUUUCUGCGAUGUGUAUGUCCAUAAAUUCUCAUCAUAUGAUGGUUCCCAAAUUUAUUAAGACUCUGGAUUUUGAGGUUUCUGAAGGUAAAAAAAAGGUCCUUUGUUUCUUUUAGGGUUGCAAGGACCGCGUCACAUGAAACAUCUGGCAAAAUACACCCAGAGCAGCAGUAUACGUGCCAGUGGAAUAAUAGAUGAACCAGAUUUCAGCUGAAGCAUACACGCAUGCACAAAGCCCAUAACUCUGUGAUGCUUCCGAGGCUCCGAUCUCUUCAGCAGCUGUUGAAGGGGCGCCUUUUUCUACCAAAAAAACGGAGACGCCUUUUGCUUCUCGCUCCGAUUUCCAGCUCUCUCCGUCUCUGUACCUCGCCUCGCCGGCGAUGGACGCCGCCGUAACGGCGGCGGCCCUUCUUGUCGCACCAGGAGCGGCUGGUGGCGCCCUCGCGUCUUGAGACCCUCUUUUGGAUCGUCCGGACUGAGGAAAAAGCCUUGGGUUAACAGAAACUGAGGAGAUUGUUAGAGGAACAAAUCUCAUUGGGUGGUCCGUUGCUGUUGUUCAUGCCUUACACUUCUGAAGUGGAGAUGGAAUUUCUGCGAAGUACCAGAUUGCUGCCAACACUUCGUCCUUUCAAAAAAGAUGAAUCUCUAGCAGGAUUCAUUCUUAGUUGCCAUUUUGCAUGCUGCCAGAUGAAGAUGCUGAUCGUGUGCUCUGUGAUUGUUACAGUACUGAAAUUGAUUGUUACAUUCUUUUAAAGAUCUGCUCUUUGGAUUUUUUCUUUCUUAAGAAUUAUGAUGGGCAAUAUUCUGGCUAAAAUCAAGGUGAGGAUGGGACUCGAGCCAGGUCUUCGGUACUGUAUCUCGAAGACUACCAGUUGUACCAGUUGACACCUUCCGUAGGUUUUCUUGCUGCUACUCAAGGGGUGAUACCAAGUGGCAUGAUGGUGACAAACUACUAUGCUAUUGGAAGGCAUUUUGUGAUCCAUGGUAUGCAACGCUGUAGGACAGCAAAUGACAGGGCUCAAAUCAAUGACAAC